CCAAGUUUUGGUCCUAGACUUACUGUUACUAAGGGCCCACAUUACACAUGCCAGCAUCCGCACACCAGUGCCCACGCCCAUUAAUAAAGGAGCCGGCAUCAGGCACCCCCCCCAGACUGGGGCAGCCCAAAACGCCUAGCACCCGCCACACCCCCACGGAACUCAGCAGUGAUAAACAUUAGGCAAUAAGCCCCUUGCUUGACCUAGGCCCGGCCCCCAUAAGCCGGUAAACUCCGUGCCAGCCACCGCGGUUAUACGGCGGACUAAAAGUAACACCAUUCGGCGUAAAACGUGACUAGAGACCCGACCUUGCAUCCCGGACACACACCUCAGAUAAAGUUGUAGAACACUAAUAUUCCUGAGCCCAACUAAAACUGCCCGACCCCAGGCCUAACUUGACCACACGAAAACUAAGACACAAACUAGGAUUAGAUACCCUACUAUGCUUAGCCGUAAACCCUGAUAGUCUAACAACCAACUAUCCGCCAGAGAACUACAGACGAAAAGCCUAAACUCAAAGGACUUGACGGUAUCCCACAUCGACCUAGAGGAGCCUGUCCUAUAAUCGAUGCCCCACGCUAUACCUCACCAAUUCUAGCACCCACAGCCUAUAUACCGCCGUCGCCAGCCUACCCCCUGAGGGCCCCACCAGUAGGCGCAAUAGCCCCACUAAAACGUCAGGUCAAGGUGUAGCUAAUGAAUUGGCAGCGAUGGGCUACAUUUUCUUACAAAGGAAACCACGGACAACAGCCUGAAACCCUGCCACAAGGAGGAUUUAACAGUAAAUCAGGCAAGCAUGCCUCAUUGAAGCCUGCCCUGGGAUGCGUACACACCGCCCGUCACCCUCAUCAACACCAACACAACAGAAUAAAUAAACCAACCCCCAUACCACAGAAGAUGAGACAAGUCGUAACAUGGUAAGCGUACUGGAAAGUGCGCUUGGACAAUC
rnacentral:ncRNA from 1 species